GACAUCGGAGGUCAAGAACGAAUUUGAAGGGGAGGCAAAGCGUGUACAAAGACUAUUGUCGCCAGAGUUGUUACAAGCAGCGUCAAAGGUGAACUGCCGUCCCAACAUGUUCUCCACGUUACGAAACUCGUCCGGGAGGAACAUGUGAUCACAGCUAAGCGGAUCACCAACGGGCAACAAGGACUCUCUGAUUUGCAAGCUAGCCGAGUCCUUAGG
rnacentral:lncRNA from 1 species